GAGGGUAUAGCUCACUGGUAGAAUGCAUGCUUUGCAUGCAGGAAGUUCUGGGUUCAAUCCCCAGCACCCCCA
rnacentral:tRNA from 1 species